rnacentral:lncRNA from 1 species
AUGGGUCGGCUUCCCCGAGGGGCAGGGGUGGCUCCGAGGCGGCGGGAAGGCCCCUCCCUGUCCCCGCGGACGCCGGGACUCACGGACCGACUCUCGGGGGGGUUCGGGCGCUCUAGCCGCAGCCUGCGGGCGGAGCGGUGGCGGCGGCGGAGGAGGCGGCGGCGGCGGGAGCGCUGCUCGCGGCACGGGCGGGAGCCAUGUCAAGAGAACACCAGCAGCCAACUGAGCCCCCCCAUCCCCGCUGCAGUGCGCACUGUGACCGGGCCGCCCGCGCUGCUGCCGCCGCUCAGCCCCCACCUGGGACCCAUAGUCUGGCUCGGCGCCCCGGGCGGCGGCGGACGGAAGGACGCGAAGGAGGCGGCGGCGAGAGACAGAGCAGGAGGAGCGAGGAGGGAGACGGGGAGGGCUGGCUCUGACGGCGGAGGGGAAGGGGAGGGAGGGAAGGGGAGCCCUGCGCUAGGGGUCCGUCGGCGAGGCCAACCCCCCGGAAUAAAGUUAUUUCAGUCCAAGCAUCUGCUCGCGAGGCUCUUCCCCCACGGCCGGGCUCCGGCUCUCGGCAAGGAAGGUCGCGGGGACCCGGAGGGGGAGAAGCCGAAGCGGCGGGUGAGCGUCCGCGCUGGUACAGCCUCGUUCCCCCCAACCGCGGGCUGCGGACACGGCGGCGGCGGCGGGCGCCUCCCGGUCCGGGGCAGAGUCGCGUUUGAGAAGGGAAGCGAGAACAAACAACUUAAAAUGGCAGCGACGGCCGCUGCGUCACACGCCCCUAAGCGGAAACGCCCAAGACGCUCUGCGGCUGCGCAGCGCGCGGGCCGCCACCAUCUGCGCCGGGCCGGGGGGGGCGGGGAAAGGCUGGACGCCCCAAGUGGUUCGCGGCUGUCAGCACAGAGGAGGCAAGGGCGGGGGAAGAGGGUGCGAGGGAGCGCGGCUAAGCGGAGGCUGGGAAGGGAAGCUUCUGAGCGGAUCUUCCCGCUUCAAAGGGGGAGUGUGAGAAGAGAGACUCCCCUCUCGCGCAGCUUGAGGCUUCCACGGAGCGUGGCAAGGGACCGCCCAGGCUCCCCCCGCCCCCUCCGUCAGAAGGUCCCAGCGCCUGAGCUGGCUCCUCGCCCCUCCCCGCACGCGCGUCACCAGGCCACGCCCCCUGGCGCUCGCAGAGAGCACCCGGAUGGACACGCUCUUCCGGGGUCCUGGUUAGACGGUCGGAUAGGUCCGGCAGCGAGGCCGCGCCCCGGCGGCGGAGGCGGGGGCGGAGUCAGGGAGGCACUGGGAAGUCUGCGUGGGAAGGUCGGCGGGAACGUCCGCGUUCGCCUCGCUGCGCUUCAUUUACAGCCUCGGCGGGGAUACGAAAACGAGCGAACGCGGGACGGCCAGCGCCCGCUCUGCGAGCUCCGUCCUGCUGCGGAGAGUCCCCCCGGCCACGUGCGCGGGCGUGAGGGCGGGCCUCGAGCGCCGACGGAGGUCACCUGCGCCGCGGAGCCAGCGCGGCUGCCGGGACGGCGGAGAGCGACAGGGCACCUGCCCCGCGACUUUGUGCGCCCCGUGUCACCGGACGGGGUGUGCCGGGGUCCCCCGGGACCUCAGACCCAGGCCCCGGUGCCCCCCCCCGUGUCACCGGACGGGGUGUGCCGGGGUCCCCCGGGACCUCAGACCCAGGCCCCGGUCCCCCCCCCCGUGUCACCGGACGGGGUGUGCCGGGGUCCUCCGGGACCUCAGACCCAGGCCCCGGCGUCCCCCGUGUCACUGGACGGGGUGUGCUGGGAACCUCCAGGACCUCAGACCCAGGCCCCGCUGUUCCCCUGUGUCACCGGACGGGGUGUGCUGGGAACCUCCAGGACCUCAGACCCAGGCCCCGCUGUUCCCCUGUGUCACCGCCCGGGGUGUGCUGGGAACCUCCAGGACCUCAGACCCAGGCCCCGCUGUUCCCCUGUGUCCCCGCCCGGGGUGUGCUGGGAACCUCCAGGACCUCAGACCCAGGCCCCGCUGUUCCCCUGUGUCCCCGCCCGGGGUGUGCUGGGAACCUCCAGGACCUCAGACCCAGGCCCCGCUGUUCCCCUGUGUCCCCGCCCGGGGUGUGCUGGGAACCUCCAGGACCUCAGACCCAGGCCCCGGCGUCCCCCGUGUCACUGGACGGGGUGUGCUGGGAACCUCCAGGACCUCAGACCCAGGCCCAAUGUGUUGCACCAUAUUUGGAAAACACGAAGAGGGUACUGUUGGUAG